AAAGAAUAACGAGCCUAUCUAAAUCCCAGUAACGAGUAACGCGUUCCUGAUUUUGUCAUAAUAACUAGUUACCGUGCUCGUUACCACAAUAAUAACGUAGUUACUGUAACAUGUUACCUAAUAACGAGUUAGUCCCAAUGCUGGUCAUGUGAUACAUUUAUAUUGCCCAUGUCAUUCAUUCCUAUUUGGGCUGUAUUUACUGAUAUAUGUAAUUUCUUAAUGCUCUGCUUGUUUUAUCAGGGGAGAAGAAUGAUGUGGAUGAGGCCUUGGUCAACAUGGUGAUAGAGGAUUCCCAGCCCUUCACUGUUGUGGAGGACAGUGGGUUUAGAAAGUGUGUUAAAGCUUUGAACACUAACUAUGUUUUCCCCACAAGGCAGGAUUUGAAAGCUAUGGUGGUCCAAAGAUACAAAGAGUCCAAACAAACAGAAAAACUGACUGUGGCAAAGACUUCUGCAGUUAGUUUGACAUCUGAUAUGUGGACCUCCAUUAACACAGAGGCUUACCUUGCUGUCACCUGCCAUUUCAUCGAUUCUAACACUGCAUUGCAUUCUGUAGUGCUCGGAGCCUCAUCUUUAGCAGCUUCUUCAUCAGAAGCUUUUCAGCCUGUGA